UACGUAGGUGGCAAGCGUUGUCCGGAAUUAUUGGGCGUAAAGCGCGCGCAGGCGGUCUUUUAAGUCUGAUGUGAAAGCCCACGGCUCAACCGUGGAGGGUCAUUGGAAACUGGAGGACUUGAGUGCAGAAGAGGAGAGUGGAAUUCCACGUGUAGCGGUGAAAUGCGUAGAUAUGUGGAGGAACACCAGUGGCGAAGGCGGCUCUCUGGUCUGUAACUGACGCUGAGGCGCGAAAGCGUGGGGAGCAAACAGG
rnacentral:rRNA from 1 species